UGACUUUGUCCAUCCUUAAAGUCUGACCUAAAUCAACCGCUCAGAUAAUAAUGUGCUGUUGCAUUGUUUUCAAUAUUAUACAGGUCAAAGAGAAUUUACAAAUCACUGUUUCCAGUUUUAAUUUUCAUUUAACAUACCGUCCCAACAUUUUCUAAUUUGAGGUUGUAGACUAGAGUGUGCAAUUGAUUAGUGUUGGCCGUUGUCUAUGUUGGUGAUUCUAUGUUGGUGAUGGAUUCUAUGUUGGUGAUUCUAUGUUGGUGAUUCUAUGUUGGUGAUUCUAUGUUGGUGAUGGGUUCUAUGUUGGUGAUGGGUUCUAUGUUGGUGAUUCUAUGUUGGUGAUUCUAUGUUGGUGAUUCUAUGUUGGUGAUGGGUUCUAUGUUGGUGAUGGAUUCUAUGUUGGUGAUGGAUUCUAUGUUGGUGAUGGGUUCUAUGUUGGUGAUGGAUUCUAUGUUGGUGAUGGGUUCUAUGUUGGUGAUGGAUUCUAUGUUGGUGAUGGAUUCUAUGUUCUAUGUUGGUGAUGGUGAUGGAUUCUAUGUUGGUGAUUCUAUGUUGGUGAUGGUGAUGGAUUCUAUGUUGGUGAUGGGUUCUAUGUUGGUGAUGGGUUCUCUUCGGUUCUGCAGGUUCUUGUUCUACAGAUUCUUCUCCUCAUGGGUUUCGAACAUAUCCAAUCUCAGAAUUACUUCACAGAUACUGCUGAGGAGUGUAUUGAGGAGGACAGGGAGGAGGUGAUUGGGCGUGUGGGGGAGGCCCUGUGUGUCUGCGUGACCUCUGACCUCUGCAGUGGCUGCAUGGAUGACCCUGAUGACCCCACCUACAUCUGGACCCGUGAUGGAGUGACCCUCUCAGACACACACACACACACACACCGCGUCCAUGCGCAUGGAGCAGCACUGCUCUUCCUACCACUCUCACUCAACGACACAGGAGUCUACUACCUACACAGGUGAUUACACACACACACACACACACACACACACACACACACACACACACACACACACACACACACACACACACACACACACACACACACG
rnacentral:lncRNA from 1 species